rnacentral:rRNA from 1 species
GACGAACGCUGGCGGCGCGCCUAACACGUGCAAGUCGAACGAGCGAGAGAGAGCUUGCUUUCUUGAGCGAGUGGCGAACGGGUGAGUAACGCGUGAGGAACCUGCCUCAAAGAGGGGGACAACAGUUGGAAACGACUGCUAAUACCGCAUAAGCCCACGACCCGGCAUCGGGUUGAGGGAAAAGGAGCAAUCCGCUUUGAGAUGGCCUCGCGUCCGAUUAGCUAGUUGGUGAGGUAACGGCCCACCAAGGCGACGAUCGGUAGCCGGACUGAGAGGUUGAACGGCCACAUUGGGACUGAGACACGGCCCAGACUCCUACGGGAGGCAGCAGUGGGGAAUAUUGCACAAUGGGGGAAACCCUGAUGCAGCGACGCCGCGUGGAGGAAGAAGGUCUUCGGAUUGUAAACUCCUGUUGUUGAGGAAGAUAAUGACGGUACUCAACAAGGAAGUGACGGCUAACUACGUG